rnacentral:lncRNA from 1 species
AGAAAUCAAAGAUUAUUAUGCUACAACAUUUUUGCUUACUUGUCAUAGUGGAUAUCAUAUAUUGUACAUUGUAACUUUUUUUGCUUAAUAAUUAUUGUUAGAAUCAGUACAUUUUAUGUGCGACUCAAGACAAUUUUUAUUCUUCAAAUGUGGCCCAAAGAAGCCAAAAGAUUAAACACCACUAGACAAAAAGGAAGCCAUUUUGAUACACUACAUUCUAUAAUAGUCAUUUAGUGCAUGCAAAAAGUACACAAAAGUGUAUACAUUUUACAAAAAUACAUAUUUUCAGGAAUACAUAAAAGGGAGUAUAUAAUCAUCAUCAGUCAUCAGGAGUAUAUAAAAUACAUAUUUUAUAUACUCCUAAUUUACUGGGUCAGGUUAAUCGAUGUUUGCCAAAAGAAAAGAUUUACAUCUAUUACAAGAAUCAUUGGCAGACAUACUAGAGAGAAAGAGAAUGGACAUGGAAUUUGACAAUGAGGUUCCAGUUGACAACGACUUUUCGGCUCUCGUCACCCUUCCCCCUUAUUCAAACUUUUUUAACAACCUGAUUGCAGUUAAAAUUCUCUUCCUCAUGUAACAGAGCAUUUCCUGUGUCCUGUCCCCCAAC